CUUAACACAUGCAAGUCGAACGAAGCACCUUGGGCAGAUCUUCGGAUGAAGUCCAUGGUGACUGAGUGGCGGACGGGUGAGUAACGCGUGGGUAACCUGCCUCAUACAGGGGGAUAACAGUUAGAAAUGGCUGCUAAUACCGCAUAAGCGCACGGUACUGCAUGGUACAGUGUGAAAAACUCCGGUGGUAUGAGAUGGACCCGCGUUGGAUUAGCUAGUUGGCAGGGUAACGGCCUACCAGGGCGACGAUCCAUAGCCGGCCUGAGAGGGUGGACGGCCACAUUGGGACUGAGACACGGCCCAGACUCCUACGGGAGGCAGCAGUGGGGAAUAUUGCACAAUGGGGGAAACCCUGAUGCAGCGACGCCGCGUGAGCGAAGAAGUAUUUCGGUAUGUAAAGCUCUAUCAGCAGGGAAGAAAAUGACGGUACCUGACUAAGAAGCCCCGGCUAACUACGUGCCAGCAGCCGCGGUAAUACGUAGGGGGCAAGCGUUAUCCGGAUUUACUGGGUGUAAAGGGAGCGUAGACGGCAAGGCAAGUCUGAUGUGAAAACCCAGGGCUUAACCCUGGGACUGCAUUGGAAACUGUCUGGCUCGAGUGCCGGAGAGGUAAGCGGAAUUCCUAGUGUAGCGGUGAAAUGCGUAGAUAUUAGGAAGAACACCAGUGGCGAAGGCGGCUUACUG
rnacentral:rRNA from 1 species